rfam:Aspergillus oryzae strain BCC7051 OAory_C02, whole genome shotgun sequence.
GCCCCCGUAGCGCAAUGGUAGCGCGUAAGACUUCUAGCUUCAAAGCUAUCUUAAGGUUGCGAGUUCGAGCCUCGCCGGGGGCU